GACGAACGCUGGCGGCGUGCUUAACACAUGCAAGUCGAGCGGGGAUGAAAGAUGGAGUUCUUCGGAACAAAGCCUUUCGUUCUAGCGGCGGACGGGUGAGUAACGCGUGAGCAAUCUGUCCCAGACAGGGGGAUAACACUUGGAAACAGGUGCUAAUACCGCAUAAGACCACGAGGUCGCAUGGCUCUGAGGUAAAAGAAAUUCGGUUUGGGGUGAGCUCGCGUCCGAUUAGCUAGUUGGUGAGGUAACGGCCCACCAAGGCGACGAUCGGUAGCCGACCUGAGAGGGUGAUCGGCCACAUUGGAACUGAGACACGGUCCAA
rnacentral:rRNA from 1 species